CAAGCGUAUCAACUCUUACCACAAAAUCAAGAAGACGGAGAUGAUCAUCGAUGCUCCCGAACAAGAGGAGUUAGAUUUCUUGCGAAACUCCACCUUCGGGAAGAUCCUUGCCAUUGACAAGAAUCAUCCGUUCUCUGGUACAUUUGGUCAGUACAUUAUUGUGAGGCUUUUGAAAGUUAACAAAAAGUACGAGAUCUGGAUCUUGUUUGCCUGAACCACUGUUAGAAUGUCACUGCGGGAGUUUGCGAUAGUGACUGGUCUGAAUUGUGAUAAGCUCGCAGACCCUUGUAAGAAGAAGAAGAAAAACCCCCUCAACGAGAAGCUCUAUUGGAACGAGCUUUUUGGUUCUCUGAAAUCUUGUACCAUUGACACUGUUAUUGAUAUGCUGAAGAAAAAGAUUGUCAAAGACAGAGACACUAGGAUUAAAUUCGCCUGCCUUGCCAUCACGUCUUCAGUCUUGUUUCCCUCCCCGCAUAUUCCUCAUAUAUUACCGGAGCAUGUUGAAAUGAUAAGAGACCUUAAUGAAUUUCUUGCAUACACAUGGGGUAGAGCUUCAUAUCUGACGCUCGUCACAUCUAUUAUAUCGAAGGAUGAGAUAGCUCUAUCACAGACGUCUGUAGCUAUAAGGGGUUAUGUCGAUGUUAUCCAACUUGUGCUGCUUUCAGCCGUACCACAGUUGAAGGAAGAAAUUACACAGAACGAGCCGGUUAUAAUUGUUGAGUAGAGACGCCUGACGAAGUGGCGGCUCCUGUGGAAGCUAAUGGUUCAUAGUCGAACCAUUUAUUAGACCCAACCCGGCUAUGUAACCGGUUCAUGGUCGAACUGGUACAACUAUCGAGUCGGUCUGGUUUUAAAAACACUGGUUAAAACAAAGAUUGAGACCACCAGUUCUUUCUCUUCGUUGGCUAUCCUUCUUCUAGAGACCCACAUCUUAUGAUGAGAUGUAUGCAGAUCGUUUGUGAAUACCGAUACCAUAUAAAGAAGAACGGUCAAGCUAAGAAAUUUCCUGCAGGAGAUCUGUUUAUAAAAGCUCUCUUCCUAACAUUACCAGCUUCAGAGGAGAUGAUGAACAUAGAACAUCUUUUGAGGAUUCGAGAUAGUUGGAGUGACAUGCAAAGAACCAAGUUCUAGAUAUGGAGAAAGAGAGUCACAGUUGGAGUCAAAAGCAGAGAAAGAUUAAAAAGUUGUGGAUAUCUACGUAAGCAACAUAAAUCAAAAGUGAAGACUUAGCAUUAGAAUGGUACAUAGAUGAAUCCGAUAUAGAUUGAAACUCUAAAGACACAGGAUAGUCAGAAUAUGUUGCUAGUUGUAUGCUUACCUAACGUGUUGUUAGUUAGAUAUGAUGGUCUCAUAUGUUUUAUAAAAAUGAUUAGUUUGAAUCAAUAUUUUGGGUUGAUUAUUUAUACAAUAUUCAUAUACUGAUACGUGACCUUUUUAAUGUUUGGCAUACUAUUGGAUGUUCUGAGAACCAAGUUCCAAGAGCUACAAAUGAAGACAACAACCUUGUCGAACAACAGAAACAGUACACGGACCAAGAUAAACCGUGGGAUGCUGGGACAAUGACAUUAAUUAUGGUUCAUUCGGUUUAGGUACAAUUUAUUUAAUGGCAAGUGUCAUCAAUUUAUUUAGCUGGUUUAGGAAUAUAAUGAAACGACAGGAUUAUUAAGCCCAUUGGCAUGGGAAGGUAAAUAAAAUGAAAAAGUCAGGGU